AGGUGAAACAUGGAGUCAUGGUGAAAAUAAAUGUCAAAAGGCAAAAAUGAGAAUUGGCGCAGGCAGGACUCGAAGCCGGUCCGGUUUUCAAAAAGUGGCGCGCUAACACCUUCCACAUGCACAGUACACGAAAAACUGGAUCAAAAUCACUUUCUGGAAAAAAAUUUAAACAUUCAACCGUGUUCUUCAUACAUUCAUCACUCAUGAACAAUUUUC
rnacentral:lncRNA from 1 species